GACAGACGUUGUUUGUAACAAUUAAUUACACGCUAUUGAGUACCGAGAAUUUCAGCAAAUCUAUAAAUUGUGAGUGGUCGGGGCGACACUCAACAAAGGCGACUUCGGUCCAUCCGUAUGGUAUGAGAUCGUUUCAGUAUGGCGCAGCACCUCAAAAUGUUGCGACAUAAGUUUCCUUUGACGGGAAGUGGGUGGUCCUACUCCUGAUUCACUGGUCAGGACGUAAAACAAAUGACGCUCACGGAGAUUUUCGCCUUUAUUUACUAGGUUUUAGCCAUACAGAAAACUUGUAUUUAUCCAGCAAAGUUUAUACAGGGACCAAAAUUGACGCCAGUUUGCUAGUUGUAAUCAUGGUGUCUGCAAGAGUGCUCCAGCUGUUGGUGUUAGCUUACCUUGCUUCUGCUCUCAAUGCUACAGACAAUGACAGCCAUUUGGUGAUAGCCCCACAGUCUCCAGUGGUGGAAAUUGGGACUAAUUUCACAGCUACAUGCAUGAUCAUCAACACAGCUGAAGUUACAGCAGAUGACCUUUACUGGACUCUGCCUAAAACUGUUGUACCCAAAGAACAGUACACCAGGAUCAACAGAUCAGCUCUCAGUGUCACUGUCCCCAUCACCGGUGAAAACACUGAAUGGUUGUUUUGCCGCUGCAAGAAUGCGUCACCCUAUGUUGUUCUGAACAAAGGCAAAUUUAUUCACGGGAUUAUCCUUACUAAAGGCUAUCGUCCAGAGAAGCCUGUGAAUCUGUCCUGUGUGGCAGUUCAGGAGAAAAUGUUCGUCUCUCCAAAAAUCAACUGUAUGUGGGAACUUGUGGGACGUCAAAGUGCAGAUGUUCCUACAAAUUACACACUGAAGGUUGAAAAUAUCUUCGGUAGGACCUUUAAAAACUCGACACAUGGAAACAGAGCCGAGGUGAUUCUGGACAUUUUCCCCCAUCAUGUUACACUGGAGUUUUGGGUUGAGGCAUACAAUAAGUUGGGAAAAAUCGAAUCUGACCAUCUGAAGGAAGAUGCUGACUGGUUUGUGAAAACAAACCCUCCAUCAGACAUCAAAGUAAUUUCAGAGAAGAGUUUUCCCACUUCCCUACUUAUAAACUGGAUUCAUCCUAUUGCUGAACAAUAUAUGAUAUUAAAAUAUCAAAUCAGGUUCUGCCCAAAUGGAUCUCAUAGUUGGACUUAUGUACCUCUUGUGGACACUGCCAAGUACAUACAGUCCUUUAGACUACAGAAACUUCAGCCAUACACAGUUUAUAUCGUUCAGGUGCGCUGUAGAAAUGCUAGAGAUGGUUACUGGAGCGACUGGAGUACCAAUGCUACCAAGAGAACACCAGAGGACCGAUUGCAGUCAUACUGCUCAUGGUGUUUCGAAUGAGGCGACAUCUGAGCUCCUUUGACAUCUGGCCUUUCUUCGACAGCUCAAAGUAUUGUUGUCGGACUUGCUCAAGUUCUGUGUCGGUGUGCAAUACAUAUUCUGGAAAGGAUAACUUCACAACCUUUUCAGGGGUUGUGUACCUUGCAGGACUUGCGUUCACUGGAGUGGAAGUCUGUCGCAUGGGUGACGCAUUAAAGGAGGAACUGCCCGAUAAUUGUGAGUGUUCUUGGCCAGACUCCUGUAAAAUAAAAGUUUGCGGAAGGCCCUUUACUGUUCCAGCAUGACUGUGCCCCAGUGCAUAAGGUCCAUAAAGACAUGGUGGGAUGAGUUUGGGAUGAGAACUUGACUGGCCUGCACAGAGCCCUGACCUCAACCCUUCGAACACCCUUGUGAUGAAAUGGAAUGGAGAUUACGAACCAGGUCUUUCUGUCCAGACCUCACUAUUGCUCUACUGCAUAAAUGGGCAAAGAUUCCCACAGAAACACUCCACUCAAGCAUUCCCAGAAGAGCGGAAACUGUUGUAGCUGCAAAGCUGGCUAUGUAUUUCAAAUGUGAAAGUUCCUGUUGGUGUAAUGAUCAGGUACUCCAAUACUUUUGUCAUAUAGUGUAUGUUUUUGUCUCUCUCCAGUGGUUUAACUCAUCACCUUUCUGCAGUGAUAUAGGUGUAACCAGGAUGUGACAACACUGCUGCUUAUGGUUAUAUGUGCAACAGAACAGUUAACAUUUUCAGCCAGAGAGUACAGUGAAACACUGUUUAUCAGUCAUUUACUCCUUAAUGUCUCUUUUCUUGUUGUUUCUUAUUAUUAAUUUUUUAGAGUCCUUUUUAUAAUGGAUCUAUGUGUCUCUAGCAAAUUUCAUUAAACAGUCCUGUGUUGGGGUUAUGUUAUAACUUAACUUAAGUUAUAACUUUAAUAUUUAUUACCAUGCUGAAUUGUUAUGAAUUAGUUCUUUAUUUUGAAACAUUCAGAAUUUUUAUUGCAAGAGGUACCAGGGCCAGGUAUAUAGGAAGCUUAUUGUCUUUGUAAAGUAUUUCCAAUUUUUGUCUAGUCUGUAAAGACUCACUGUGUUGAUUAACAUGUAAACAUUUUCUAUGCAGAUUUGGUGCAGGUUUUUUUCUUGGUCAAUUACAUGCUUUGUUCAUGCGGGGGAAAAAAGGAAAUCUUACAUGCGAGAAAUGUUGGUCAAGUUGGCAAAGGCAUUCUGAGGAAUAGAAGAAAGUUUUGUCCCCACAAGCCACCUGAAACAGAAAUAAAUGUCCUGAGACUUUCCAGUCUUAAUACAAUGGUAAGUAGUAGUAAAGAAUGUGGUUACUUACACCUCCUGCGUGCUGGAAUGGAAAACAGGCAUGACCUCAGGUCCAAAACAUGACACACUGUAGAUGUCCCAGUCACACUGGCAAUGAGCUGGACAAUAUUCCACAGGAAGAGUGAACUCAACAGUACCGAAAAUGAAAAAAAGGAUAUUCAAAUCAGGCUUCAUUGUAAGAGCUCUGAUACAGUGGUGGAGGCUCCCACGUUACACUGCAAGAUCACAAACUGGCACUUCUGGUCAAAACCUUCAAAAUAAAAGCCUAUUGCAUAAGCAUGUUCCCUUGUAUAAUCAAAUAAAAUGAAGCCACACAUGGAAACUGUCUGAGGUAAACUACACCUACUAUGGGGCUACUGCUAGCUAACUUUUAUGACAUCAGUGACAGCUACCAACCGUUGUUGUCCUUGCCUGAUGCAACUGACAUUUAGAAUAUUGAUGAACAUAUACUGAUUCACACAAUGAUGAGAACGAUAAAUAAAAUGUUUUGGUUGGCCAGGGGGAACCUUGAGCAUAACAUGGAAUGACUCCCCUUUUUCCUAGGUCCCAAGGACGACCAGUGUCAUGGUGGAACUAUAGUUGGUACAAUUCCAACGAAAGACAAGCUCCCUUAACCCAAAAUACAUAGCUCAAAAAAGACAGAAAACAACAUGUUGCACAAGUUUGUCUGAAGAUGUACAACUAUUUAAAUGUGCAACAUCAGAGAAGGUGAAAUUCACCUUUCCUUAAAUACAUGUUUGUAUUUAAGCAAUACAAUUUGACAUUCAAUCAUGUUUUUCUCUUUGGAGUUGAUUUACUUCUGAUUACAAUUUAAUUGUGAUUCUUGGAAAGCAUUGUUUUUCAUUGUAUAUAAAUACAAUACUAAUCAUGUAUUUUCAUCAUGUAUUUACUUUGUGAUUGUUGUGUUUAGUAAAAAAUACUGUAAAUGACUUAUUUUAAGGAACCAACAAAAGUCAAACUUGGUACCAAAAUAUCUCACCUGUUUUUUGACAAUCAUAAUAACUGUUUACAUUGUAGUGUGACCUGCUUGCAUGCAAAUGGUCCAAAUAAAUCACAAUAGUUUUUCAGAAUGCAUUGUUCCUUCAAGAAACAACACACAGCAGUACGUUACUAGCAGUAAGUAAAAUUGUAGCCAACAUUAAGAUGUAAUAAAUAGAAAAACUGUC